AGUGAACGCUGGCGGCAGGCCUAACACAUGCAAGUCGAACGGCAGCACAGUGGAGCUUGCUCCAUGGGUGGCGAGUGGCGGACGGGUGAGGAAUACAUCGGAAUCUGCCCAGUCGUGGAGGAUAACAUAGGGAAACUUAUGCUAAUACCGCAUACGACCUACGGGUGAAAAGCGGGGGAUCGCAAGACCUCGCGCGAUUGGAUGAGCCGAUGUCCGAUUAGCUAGUUGGCGGGGUAAUGGCCCACCAAGGCGACGAUCGGUAGCUGGUCUGAGAGGAUGAUUAGCCACACUGGAACUGAGACACGGUCCAGACUCCUACGGGAGGCAGCAGUGGGGAAUAUUGGACAAUGGGCGCAAGCCUGAUCCAGCCAUGCCGCGUGGGUGAAGAAA
rnacentral:rRNA from 1 species